rnacentral:rRNA from 1 species
AGUCACUGACAUUAGAUACCCGGGUAGUCCCAGCUGUAAACGAUGCAGACUAGGUGUUUGGACGGCCACGUGCCGUUCUAGUGCCGCAGGGAAGCUGUUAAGUCUGCCGCCUGGGGAGUACGAUCGCAAGAUUGAAACUUAAAGGAAUUGGCGGGGGAGCACCACAAGGGGUGAAGCUUGCGGUUUAAUUGGAGUCAACGCCGGAAAUCUCACCGGGAGCGACAGCAGUGUGAUAGCCAGAUUAAAGGUCUUGCUAGACGAGCUG